rnacentral:tRNA from 1 species
GCCCACAUAGCUCAGCAGGCAGAGCACUUCCUUGGUAAGGAAGAGGUCUCCGGUUCGAACCCGGAUGUGGGCUCCA